rnacentral:rRNA from 1 species
UACGAAGGGGGCGAGCGUUGUUCGGAAUUACUGGGCGUAAAGGGCGCGCAGGCGGCUCUGAAAGUCAGAUGUGAAAGCCCCGGGCUUAACCUGGGAAUUGCAUUUGAUACUCUGGAGCUUGAGUACGGGAGAGGAGAGUGGAAUUCCCAGUGUAGAGGUGAAAUUCGUAGAUAUUGGGAAGAACACCGGUGGCGAAGGCGGCUCUCUGGACCGUAACUGACGCUGUGGCGCGAAAGCUGGGGGAGCGAACGGG